rnacentral:piRNA from 1 species
GUCAUUAAGAGCAGCUGUGUCAG